UCUUCUUCUUCUUUAUGACUUCUUGCUCUAUGGUUACAAGAACUUUUGGAAUUCUUGGGAUCUGGAUUUGUGAUUGAGUUUUGCUGAGGCUAAAAUCAUCUUGAAACGUAAAAAGAGCGCGUCAGUAUUUUUUUUAGAACAAUUGGGAUCCAUCAGCGCGUGAGUAGUUUGAGAGGCAAGAUGCAUAUGUUUUGAUAAUACCAUGCACCUAUUCCAAUCUUUUGAAUGUUUGUUAAAAGUGUGUUUUGGUAGUAUGGAAAUGCUCUUCAAGGAACUGCUGGUAUCUAGUGUUUGCGGUAGAAGAAUAGCGUUUGUGUUGAUACCACAGUCUGUUCUUUUACCAGAUUGGAGAUGAAGUUGUUGGUUCGAUGCCUUUUUGAACCUUUUUGAACUAAAUUUUCUGCAAGCACAAAUGUCAUGUCUGCUUUUAGAACUAGAUACAGUCUACUUUUGGUUGGAUGCUUCUUUUCCUUCCAGGAUAAAAUCUCUUUCCAAUGCGCUUCUGCAUUCAACUCAUGGACGAUCAUGUACCCAAAAGUGGUGGAGCUUCUCUGAUUAAUUGAUAGGAGAUCAACACUUGAGAACAAAACUAGGGGUCUUCUUUGUAUUGUGAUUUCAUCUUCUUUAAUGAGGGGAAUCACCCUCUUGAAAGUAAUCUUUGUGAAGCUACUUCUCCCAUGCAUAUUUAAAAUUAAUCAGAGAAGCCACUUCUCAUCAACUCUUUCCUCCACUGUGUCUCUCUCAUCAGUCUUUUACAGUUUACCUAAUUUCAACGAGUGUAAAUACAUUAACUUUUGUAGUUCAGAGAAGUACGUUUUGUUGAAUAAUCUUAAUAUUCAAAAUACAGAUUCUGUAAUAACUUUGGAGUCCAAAAAUUCAGGAAAAAUCAUUUAAAGCGCUUCAAAUUAUUGUGCAUUAAGUCUUCAAUUUUACCCACCGCCAACUUAUUCUAAACAAAAAGGAGAGACUUCUCUUAGAUAUGAAAAUGAUUAUCUAGUGUUUUAAUGAUGCAUACUCAAGCAUAUUUAUUCCUG
rnacentral:lncRNA from 1 species